CCUCAGAGAACUCUGCAAUACAGCGGAUUGGAAAAACAAACUAAAUUCUCCUCCUGAGCCAGAUAGGUCCCCAGGUGCUUGUCCUCAUUACAGAGAUUGCUCUGGGAGCUGGAUCCAGCUGGCAAAGGUUUCUCAUUAAGAUGGCAAGGCUGCAGAUGUGAAGCUGGAGGGAAAGUACAUAGCUGCUGAGUGGAGGUGGCCUUGGGGCUGGGGUUAAGGAGGUGAGUGAGGUGCUUAAGUGCAGAGCUUUGUGUUGUGGAGUUCUGUUAGUUGUGAAAGUGGAAUGCGUUUUUAGUGCAUUCAGCUUGGAAUGGGUUUGGAUUUUCUUCUACUUUCUCUGCUUUGAAGACAUUAUAAUCUUGCAAGUGUUAAUUUUUGACUAGUUCUAGCAUAGACUUAGGACAGGAAGAAGCCUGUUUAGGGCUGUUGGAGUUUGGAUCUUGUGCAAUGUGUGGGAGUUGUGCUCUAGCUAUUUUUCUGUUAGGUAUAUGAGAAAAGGCAGGGGGAGUAGGAAGAGCUCAAGCUUUGCUUAUUUUUUUAUGCUGCAAACAGGGUAGCUCUGUAGAGGAAAAAGGAUUUGAAGUGUUGACCUGGAAUGUUAAAGUCACGGGUAACACUUGACAGCAUUUUCUCUCUUAGGAGUAUCUCAGACAUAUGGGAAGGUGAUCAAGAACAGGAGCUGCUGCUACUGCACUUUUGACUGGAAAUAGUAGAUGCCAAUAGAAUCAAGAGCAGGAUAAACAAAUAAGAUGCAGGACAAUUGCAAGAGCUCUCGGAGUCCUGGUGUUUCAGGCCUGCAGAAGCUCUGCCUUGUGUACCAGGCUGUGGGGCUGCCUGAGGAGCUUUCACAAAUAGCACUUUUAUGUGGCUUAUUGCAAGCUGUGCAGCACUCACACAACUGCGCAGUAUUUACUGGUUGGAAUUGUUGGGCCAGCUGGACCACAGUGCACACAGCCAUGUGUCUUCCCAGAAGUCAGCGAGAUGCGUGUUUGCACAUCCCAGCAAGCUCUGCUUACCCCACGUUGUCUCAGUGCCAGCUGACCGCAGGAUCCAUCCAGCCGACCGCUUUGUGGUGAUGAAUUGCUGUAUUUGCUGCUGGCUGCAUAUGGCAGAGAGCUUAAGAUCUCCAUGAAGGAAAAUGAUUAUCGUUGAGUCACGCCAAUAGCUGCGACGCUGGCUGCCUGCCCCCGCCAGCCUGCUGCACCACUUGUGUGCUAAUGUUUGGAUCCUAGUGAUGGGAAAUGAAUGUCAGCCUGUACUCUCUUCACGCACCAUUGAGCUGUGCUUAUGGUCGCUUUUGGCAGCACCAAAUCAUCAAACAGAUAAAACCAUCAGUCUUUUUAUUUCCAAACAUUAACCUAACCGCUAAUGAAGCGCAGCUCGUGUCAUCCUUAUGGACUCUGCAGAGCUGAGUCACACGAUAAACGGGAUCCGAAUGCUGGAAAAUGGCUCGCGCUUCUUCCUCGUGCUGCGGCCAGGCCUGCUGUGUGAGCGGAGUCCGUCCAGAGGAGUUCUGCCUCGGGCCUGCAUGCUAGAGCUGGGUGGGAAAGCUGGUGGAGCUGGGCUCUGUCUACCCAGCGCAGCGUGGGGCUGUGACCUGUGUGUUUUGGGGUGUGCACAGUGGGCCACUCAGCCCCAGUUCACGUGGAGAAGGCUUUCCAGGCCCCAAGGUGGAGGAAAUGGAGCAAUCCUCCCUCCCUGUGGACUUUGCCUCCAGUGGCUUGAACGUAUUUUUCCCCAAACAUCUCCCAGCGAAACUGGAGGGGUUUUGUAAAUUCAUUAUGUCACGGAGGAAUCUGUUUAAUCGGCUGCCUUUCCCCAGAGGCGCUUUGCGCUUAAUGAGAUGCUUGAUGGAAGGAAUCAAAAUUGGUUCAUACGAGUUUAGCCUGAGAGCCUCCAGCCGACAUAUUACUGAGUGCACUGUAAUUUAGAGGGGUAAAUGGAGAGGCUGAGCAGUUAUCACCCUGCUUGCUUGAGGUCAGUGGCAGGGGUGAAAGGUAAAACCUAGAGCUCUGCAUUGCACCAUCCCCUUCCUAGGUGUCAUCGUGAUAAAUAGCACAAGUCUUUGUGCAACCAGGAGCCUGCUCCCUGCUGCUGGUGUGACCUGUUGGGCUCUCUUCCUUCCCACUGCAAUUUGCAGUCAUGCAGCAAGGCACAUUUCUUGCUUAGCUUAAGUCUGAGGAUGUCUCACUAAUUCAGUAAGUAUCCAUAUGAGGCAUACAGCAUGUAUGUGGAAAAGGCGUCAGGAACAUAGAGAGCUAGAUAGUGGGACACAGAGCUGCAGCGUGGAAUAGUUCCAACUUUAGGUCCAAAAUCCAUUAUUAAAAUCUUAUUAAAAUCUUGUGAAAUUAAUGUAUGAAGAGCAAUCCUUUGUUUCCUCUGCAUGUCCACCUUCUUCAGCUGCCUGUUCUAACCACCAGAUGUCAGUUACUUUGUGACCUGCCUUCUCUGUGGCUACCAGGCCUUCAUCAUUUACCUCUCUUUUUUUCUUCUAUUUUCUUUUCUUUUUAAUUUAUCCUGAGAAAGACAAGACUGAAUUAUCAACAGAAGUAUAAUUUCACACAGACAAAUCUGUUCAGUUACUUUUCCAAGCGUCCAUGAUGCAUCUUUUCUCUGUGUCAUUCUGUUUAAAGCUAGUGGUUUAUUACUCACCUGAGAAUAGUUUAUAAUUCUGUGUAAUUGCUUGUUUCUGGGAUGUAGGUAUGUAGAUCUUGGUGCAGUUAAGAUAUGGUUGGUUUGUGUGAACUGCUUAAGAUAUGUAGCUUAGAAUUAAAAGCAUUUUUUUCUCACAAAGAUGAUGUUUAAUGGACAAAAAAAUAGAUCAUUCAUCACAUCACAUUUAUUUUACUUUCAACCGUUACAGUCGAUGGUCUAUGUAAUGUAUCCAUUUAAGGUUUUUUAAUAUAAAUACAAAUUUGUGAGAAUGCCUCUUACCAUCAAUCUUUAACAUGUUGUCUAGAGAUUACUUAUGAGCUAUUGGUAUCUUUCCCACCUUCUUCCUUUUUUUAGUUAAAGUUUAAAAUGACUGCAGACAAAAGCACAAUUUAGAAUGGAAUUGAUUUUACAUCAUCUGUUCCACUUGAUAUGAUGUUAAGGUAUUAGAGAAUUGCAUCGUCAUCUCUUGCUGUGAAGUUGCAUUACGUUCUGCAGCCCUGGCUCACUUAAUAAUGCUUCCAUAGCACAUGCUUAAUUGCUCAGCAAAUGACACAACGUGUGAAGAAAUCGUACCUAAAACAUGAUUUAUAUCUCUUCAGGCAAAGACACUGAGAACUGGAUCAUCUGCCUUCAUUAUGGGAACACAGAAGGAUCUGAAAACUGUGGUCAAAUCAGAUGCUUAGCACACUCAGAAUAAGCACCUUUUAUUAAAGGUAUGUCAGCUCUGUCAGUCAAGCUCAUGCCUGAACGUCUUCUUAAAACUACACACGUGCACAAUGUAUUAACAUAUGCAUCCUGUGGAGAAGAGGUUCCUUGUAGCUCUGAAGACACGUACUCUGGGCAGGCUGGGUGCUGGCAUGAUUACCAGAGACCAGUGGGCUUGCUGUACGCUCACUGUAAGGAGUGUAUGCAGCCAGGUAAAAGCAGUAUGUGAUUUCAGUGGGGUACAGUGGGACCUGUAGGGGAAGAGAGAAGAAGGGGCUCGAUGGAGAGAAAAAGUGUUUUUACAGAUGAGAUCUCCCACUGUGAGUCUACCUGGAGUGGAGAAUCUUGCCAAUACAAGCAUUGGUUCACAGGUGUCUAGAAAGUGGCUAGAACUGUUGAAGAAUAGAGUAUACUAGACAUAUUUUUUUAAUAGCUGGGUCUUACACAGCACAACAACUGCCUCCAUUCCAAGCUCAAACUUUGGCAUACCAUACUUUGAGUCUCUCCAAAUGCAGAAUGAAUUAAAAAUGGACUACUGCAAAGAUCAGUAGAGUAUUAAGGUUGUGUGGCUAUUUAUAAUUCUUCUUCUUGUGUCUCCUUUUAUCUUGCUCUCUGCUUUGAGUAGAGAUAGUCUGCUACAGCCUGUUGUAAAGGGUAGAAUGAGUUCAGUCCCUUUGUUCUCCCUCCAGAAGAGCUGAAAUGCAGUAACCUGACCUCCAACAUCUUCCACGAUUACAUCUGUCAUUUUUAAAAUUAAAUCAGAUCGCGUUAUCUUUUUUUCCUGUAAUUCCACUACGUUCAUUCCUCUUGCCUCUUCCUCAAAGUAAUUAAUUAAAAAACCAACCAACCAACCAAAAAAAAAAACCAACCAGCCUAACACAUAGUUUUUACAGAAGGAAACUAGGAGACAGAUAUAUUGGAAAUAGGACUGUAAGCAAAACAGGCUGCCAAGUGUGCCCCACACUUUUCACAGGAUCAGAGCUUUAAUGAUGUUGUAUGUUAGUGUUUUGCAUGUAUGGUACAUUGAUUUUGCCGUAUCUUUUGGGUUUAUUUAAUUUUUUUUUCUUUCUGGGCCAUUUUUUCCUAGUCUCCUUUAUUUCUCUCGUUUUUCUUUUGUUGGAAGAAAAUAAGCACAUUCUGUAGGCCAAACUGAAGUAUCCUGAAAUUGCAUGAAAUGCUAUCCCUGGAAAGCACUCCUUGAAAAGUGUAAAGACAAUGGUAGCCUAGUUCAACCAAGUGUCUCAGGUGUCUCACAUGGUGCAGCCAAACUGUCUGCAAGAGGAAUCUCAGUUCAUCCAUGAGUUCAAAUGUUGUGCACUAUCUAUACAGCUUUUGUGUCCAGCAUGGCUGCAGGCUAUGCUCUGAAAGAUGUCUGAAGAGAAAUGUCCAGGGUCUCUCCUAGGUGGUGUGCAUGAGUCACACAUGAGCAGACUACAGUCCGUGCCACUAGCGUGUUCAGUAAGCCUUGCAUUUCGUUUGCAGGCUGUGACUGGCCCAAAGCAGAGUUCCUUUAUGAUACACAGAGGAGCUAAAAGUUGGUAGCACAGAAGGAAACCUGAUAUAGUGGAUCCCAAAACUUGCAGUUCUUUUCACCUCCCAGUGCUUUUGAACACUUAAAAAGGCUUUAAAACCUUUCCAUGUUCCUUGCCUUAGAGCGGAAUAGUCUCAGAAUCCCAAGGAGAAUCCUUAGUGUUGCUGAUUUUGUUGAUUCAUCUGCGUAGGUUCCAAAUGUUACAGUUCUGAAUUACCAAACUGUAUGGUAAAGAGGAAGCGGUAUUGUGAGGGUCUCAAGAGUGCAACCCCUUUGUACUUAUAUUUCUAUGGGAAGCAGAAGUAGAGAAUCUUUGGCUUACAAAAUGGUGGAAAAGCAUAGAAAUUAAGAG